rnacentral:tmRNA from 1 species
CGGCCUUUAAGCGAAACGUUAGGGGAUAAGGAUGGAAUGGGUGGCUUCGGUCUUGUUCAAUCCCGACAAUUAAAGCGAAGAUAAACAUGUAGAAAGCAAAUUAAUUCCUCGUUUGGACGAGAGUUCGACUCUCUCCAGCUCCACAA